rnacentral:rRNA from 1 species
GACGAACGCUGGCGGCGUGCUUAACACAUGCAAGUCGAACGGAAAGGCCCUGCUUUUGUGGGGUGCUCGAGUGGCGAACGGGUGAGUAACACGUGAGUAACCUGCCCUUGACUUUGGGAUAACUUCAGGAAGCUGGGGCUAAUACCGGAUAGGAGCUCCUGCUGCAUGGUGGGGGUGGGAACGUUUCGGCGGUUGGGGAUGGACUCGCGGCUUAUCAGCUUGUUGGUGGGGUAGUGGCUUACCAAGGCUUUGACGGGUAGCCGGCCUGAGAGGGUGACCGGCCACAUUGGGACUGAGAUACGGCGCAGACUCCUACGGGAGGCAGCAGUGGGGAAUAUUGCACAAUGGGCGGAAGCCUGAUGCAGCAACGCCGCGUGCGGGAUGACGGCCUUCGGGUUGUAAACCGCUUUCGCCUGUGACGAAGCGUGAGUGACGGUAAUGGGUAAAGAAGCACCGGCUAACUACGUG